GACGAACGCUGGCGGCGUGCUUAACACAUGCAAGUCGAACGGAAAGGCUCCAACUUGCUGGUGUACUCGAGUGGCGAACGGGUGCGUAACACGUGGGUAAUCUGCUCUGCAUUCUGGGAUAAGCCAGGGUAACUGGGCUUACUCCUGUACAUGAUCUUACUUAUUAUGGGGUUUGGUGGAACGUCUUUCGGUGUAGGAUGGUCUGGCGGGCUAUCAGCUUGUUGGUGGGGGGAUGGCCUACCAAGGCAACGCCGGGUACCCGGCCUGGGAGGGUGGUCGGCCACAAGGCGACUGAGAUACGGCCCAGACUCCUACGUGGGGCAGCGGUGGGAAAUAUUGCACAGUGAGAGGGAGCCUGUUGCAGCGACGCCGCGUGUGGGAUGACGGCCUGCUGGGAGUAAACCGCUGUCGGCUGGGACGAAGCUUAAGUGACGGUACCUGCAGAAGAAGCACCGGCUAACUACGUG
rnacentral:rRNA from 1 species